rnacentral:rRNA from 1 species
GACGAACGCUGGCGGCGUGCUUAACACAUGCAAGUCGAACGGAAAGGCCGGGCUUUGCUUGGCUGCUCGAGUGGCGAACGGGUGAGUAACACGUGAGUAACCUGCCUUGUAGGGGGGGAUAACUUUAGGAAACGAUGGCUAAUACCGGAUAGUAGCUGCUGUUGCAUGGUGGUGGUUGGAAAGUUGCGGUGGUUGGGGAUGGAGGUGGGGCUGAUCAGCUUGUGGGGGGGGGAGUGGAUAAGGCAGGCAUUGGCGGGUAGCCGGCAUGGGCGGGCGACCGGGCCCAGUGGGCCUGAGGUAGGACCCAGAGGGGAACUGGGGGCAGCGGUGGGAAACAUUCCCCAAUGGGCGGAAGCGUGGUACAACGACGUCGGGUGCGGAAUGACGGUUUUCGGGUUAUAAACCGCUUUCGCCUGUGACGAAGCGUGAGUGACGGUACCGGAUAAAGAAGCACCGGCUAACUACGUG